rnacentral:rRNA from 1 species
UACGGAGGGUGCAAGCGUUAUCCGGAUUCACUGGGCGUAAAGGGUGCGUAGGCGGAUUGGUAAGUCCGUGGUGAAAUCUCUAAGCUUAACUUGGAAACUGCCAUGGAUACUAUUAGUCUUGAAUAUUGUGGAGGUUAGCGGAAUAUGUCAUGUAGCGGUGAAAUGCAUAGAUAUGACAUAGAACACCAAUUGCGAAGGCAGCUGGCUACACAAAUAUUGACGCUGAUGCACGAAAGCGUGGGGAUCAAACAGG